rnacentral:lncRNA from 1 species
AGAGAGAGAGAGAGAGGAAGAGGCCAAGGCCUAUCCGCAAUGAACUGGUGGAAUUAGAUUUAGUCUCGAGAUGCGAUUUGCUGCCGGAUGAAACACGCCGCAGAUGAAACGAAAGGCAUGAGAAAGACAAUUUCGGGAGAACGCAGUGAGGUUAAGCGAUGAGACCACGACCAGGACCAUGGGGAGCCUGCGCCAGGAGGUGACAACACAUGGAAGCGGCUAUGGAGACCUCAAUCAAGAGCUGUCGGUCAGGCUGAGGCGAUUCCUUGAGCAGAUGAUCGUGGAGGCUAGGGCAAAUAGAUCACGAUUCUGAUUUAGUUUUGGAAGAGGUCGUGGAGAAGUUACGGUGGAAGGAUAUGAAACCUUUUUUUAGUACAACUGAGAUUGGAUUUUUUUACUUUUUUUUUGUGGAAGGACGUGAAGCUUUUAGGUACAAUUGAGAUUGCACUUUUUUCUUUACUUUUUACAACCGAGAAAG